rnacentral:rRNA from 1 species
CCCUUAGAUGUUCUGGGCUGCACGCGCGCUACAAUGAUGCAUUCAACGAGCAUAGCUGCCUCGAAAGAAAGCGGCGAAUCUUUUGAAACUGCAUCGUGACGGGGAUAGAUGAUUGUAAUUAUUCAUCUUCAACGAGGAAUUCCUAGUAAGUGCAAGUCAUCAACUUGCGCUGAUUACGUCCCUGCCCUUUGUACACACCGCCCGUCGCUCCUACCGAUUGAAUGUGUUGGUGAGGAGCUCGGAUUGGCAGCAGUUGGUGGUUCGCCACCGGCUAUUGCUGAGAAGUCCUCCAAACCGCCCCAUUUAGAGGAAGGAGAAGUCGUAACA